GACGAACGCUGGCGGCGUGCUUAACACAUGCAAGUCGUACGGUAAGGCCCUUUCGGGGGUACACGAGUGGCGAACGGGUGAGUAACACGUGAGUAACCUGCCCACAACUUCGGGAUAACGCUAGGAAACUGGUGCUAAUACUGGAUAUGUGCUCCUGCUGCAUGGUGGGGGUUGGAAAGCUCCGGCGGUUGUGGAUGGACUCGCGGCCUAUCAGCUUGUUGGUGGGGUAGUGGCCUACCAAGGCGGCGACGGGUAGCCGGCCUGAGAGGGUGACCGGCCACAUUGGGACUGAGAUACGGCCCAGACUCCUACGGGAGGCAGCAGUGGGGAAUAUUGCACAAUGGGCGCAAGCCGGAUGCAGCAACGCCGCGUGCGGGAUAACGGCCUUCGGGUUGUAAACCGCUUUCAGCAGGGACGAAGCUUUUUGUGACGGUACCUGCAGAAGAAGCACCGGCUAACUACGUG
rnacentral:rRNA from 1 species